rnacentral:rRNA from 1 species
UACGGAGUGUGCAAGCGUUGUUCGGAAUCACUGGGCGUAAAGCGCGCGUAGGCGGCAAGGUAUGUCAGGUGUGAAAUCCCUCGGCUCAACCGAGGAACUGCACUUGAAACUGCCUAGCUCGAGUACGGGAGGGGGAAGCGGAAUUCCCAGUGUAGAGGUGAAAUUCGUAGAUAUUGGGAGGAACACCAGCGGCGAAGGCGGCUUCCUGGACCGAUACUGACGCUGAGGCGCGAAAGCGUGGGGAGCAAACAGG